AGUUUCACCACUGACUACCCUGCAAAACAAUACUAACACCUCAACUUGUGGAGCCAGCUGGAACUCACUUGACCUGCACUGGGAGCCAGAGUGGAAAGCAUGUGCUGUAUCUGAGGACAAGUCUAUGCUAUGGGGACAGGUCUAUCAAAUUGUGUAGCUUAGGGUUACAUUAAUAGCGUAACUCAAAUCACUGUAGUUAGAUCUACUUACUGCAGGGUCCAGAGUGCGCUGGGUCAACAGAAGAAACUCUCCUGAUGACUCCCCUUGCUCAUCUUGCUCCAGUGGAGUAUUGGAGUGGGUGGGAGAGUGAGUGAUCAGUGGUUAAGUAGGUUUUAAUUGAACCUGCUACCCCCAGUGGAUUGAUUGCUGCAGUGUCGAUCCAUCCCAUAGUGGAGACAAGCCCUGAGGCUUGUUUUAUGUCACAGAGUAGGUCAACAUAACUGUGUCAGUGUCUACACUACGUGCUUGCUCUUGUCUAUGCAAGUUCCCUUCUACACUAACAUGACUCCACCUCCGCAAGAGGCGUAGGGCUUAUGUUGGUGUAGCUAGCGUGACAUGGUGACUGUAUGGACACUGGUACUCUGGCUGUUGGCCAUCGCUCUUGUCAAUACAACAAAGUCAGUUCAUGACUCCAAGAUGGGCUUCUGUCUGGUCUCCAUUCCAAGCCAGGUUUCUACCUUGGGCUGCUGCCUGGGCUCCCCAUUUGCAGUCCUGCUGCCCUCUGAGGUCUCAGCUCCUCACUGGAAGCAUAGCAGCUAGACUCCAGGUGCAGAUCUCCUCGUCAGAGACAAGAAGCCUCCAGCAGCUGCCCGCGCACCCCACUCCCAGAAGGGAGCUGCACGGAGCUGUCUCCUUGUCAGUUGUUGGAAGCGCGCUUGGUGAGGACAUGCAUCACUGACAGAAGGCCGAGAUUAUGGACAUCAGUCGCUGCACUGAUUAUUGUGGUAGCUGUUAGUUGACCUAAUGUAGAUUACAGUACAAUCUUAAGUCAGACACUCCCUGCACUGCAGACCUAAGUUCCCACUAAGCUACGUGGCCACACACUAGCUAUUCUGUCCUGUGCAGAGGCUCAGGGCUUCUACGUGAACAGAUGCCUCUCUCCAGACCCCGAAGCUGCUGUAGUUGGGGAAGAGAGGACCCUCCUGUGGACUUGCCAGCUGGAGUGAUGGGCCAUUCCCCCAGCCUCUCAGGAAAGUGGGGUGCCAGUGGACGGACCCCUACACUAGUGGGAGUUGGGGUCUACUCUGGAGUUGUCUGGCAGUGCAACUGCAGCUGUGCUGCUGUAACGUUUCCAGUGUGUACACAUCCUGAGAGGUUGCAGGUCAGGUGCUCUCCACUUCUAAUACAAGCUACAGAAAUGGACACUUGUGCUGGUUCUGAGGCUAAAUGCUGCAUUUAUUAACUCCAGCACCGUUUUUCCUGAACACUUCAGUUAAGAAGUCUGUGUGUGGCUACCUGGCCAUUUUAUAGGAAAGCAAGUGUAUGUAGAACUCCAGUGUUCCUUUUGCUCUUUGACUUUUGGAAGUGAUGUAUAUUUGGAGUUCUCUACUGCAUUUGUUUGGUUUGGUGGGGCAGUUAUGUGAACUGUGCUGUCGCAAACUGGUGAUAGCUAUCUUUCCCCUGGAACUCGGUGUGCACACAGUACCUUGCUAUUUGCCCUGUUGUGGUCCUAGUAUUGAAAACUCAGCCACUGGACUGUCACAGUGCCUCCGUGACAUCAAGAGUCCAAGUCCUCUUUUCAAACAUCACUGAAAAGUUCCAUUUGAUGGCUCCUUAAAUUGUGGAUAUGUUUACUUUGAAGACACUGCUGCUUCUCUUACUUUCUUGAUCAUAACAAGAAACAUUUGGAUGCAGUAGCAGCACAAGAAGAUUUGGCCAUGGCUUCAACAAAAAAUCAUAUCUGCCCCCCCAUGAUUGAUAGCCAAUUUACAGAAAAGGAUCUCAACAAUGUCUUUACUUUUGAAUUUGAAAAGCCCAAAUUUGGGCUUUUGGGAAAAGCAAAGAAGAAAUUGGCAAUGUGCAAGGUGGAAAAAGAAAUGAAUAGCAAACUCAGACCAUGUAGCUUCAAGACAAGUGAAGCAAGUACCAUGAAAAGUUUCAACCUUUGGUGACACGUAAAACGUAACCAUCCUGAAAACUAGGUGGCUCUGGUUACAAAAAAAGGACCAGGAAGAUGAGGCAAAACAGAAAGCUGACGCAGCUAAAUGACAUUCAUCUGGCUCUUUGAAAACUCCUGGAGAAAAGAUUUUUUGCGGAGCUUCAUCUGAAAAGAAACCCAAAAUUGAGCAAACAAAACUUGACUCAUAUUUGAAGUCCUCAAAAGUUAGUCACCAUGAAUGCCAAUACUUUCCAUGAAGGGCUGGUGGAAAUGGUUUGCCUCAGUUCAACACCGCUCAUUACCUUCAGGUUAAAGAACAAAGGAUUCCAAAAAAUUGCAGGUGAAAUGGGUCAGCAGCUUGGCACUUCGACGGGGCACGAUGCAGUUUGUCAUUUAGUUGUCAGCACAGCUGAGUCUGGUCACAAAGAGCUUACGAAAGCUUUGGAGCAAAAAUUGUGCUCCCUGAAAAUGGAUGUGGCAACCCGUGGAAACCGAAAUUUCCUUGCAAUCUGUGCUCAGUACUAUGAAGAAGGAAAAGAUAAAGCUGUGGUAAGAACCUUGGACAUAAUCGACACUGAAGGGCAUCACAGUUGUUCCUACGUGAAAAGUCAAGUAAAAGCUAUUUUAGAAAAAUUUGGGAUCAGUGAAAUGCAAAUGCUGAGCAUGUGCGUUGACAAUGCAGCAAACAUGACGUGUGCUGUCAAAAAUUUCAGCGAGGACAAUGAAACCACUUCUACCUCUGAGAACAGGGAUGUGGACAGAACUGAAGCUAUUUUGCUAGAUGAAGGAACUAAAGGAAUGGAUGAAAUUGAACUCAAUAUGGAUGCUGCUGCACAAUAGGUUAAUGACCCUAGCCUCAUACUUCCAACAUGGCUUUAUGAGGAGGUGUGGUAUUCACACUCUUCAGUUGGCAAUCUGGGAUGGACUGAACAAAGAACAUGCGAAGAAAUUUCUGGCAAAUUCUACAAGUCGUUGUCUAACUACAAACCCCAAGUAUUCGAAGUGUUCUGCUUGAUCUGCAUGGGGUAACUCAAUCAUUGGAUACUGUGACUCGCUGGGGUUCAACAUUUGCGAUGAUUGAUCGCCUUCUCGUUUUUCAGUCUUAUUGUGAACAAGUGGCUGCUGCUGGAACAAGAGAACUCAAGUUUACAAAAGCUGAAUGGGACGAAGUGAGAACCUGCAAGACCUCUUGGCAAAGCCAAACCAAACAACUGUGAAUCUUCAAGCUGUCGAUGUAACCCUGGGAGUUUUAAUGAAGGAAUGGCGAAAAUUGUCAAAAUUCUUUCAAGAAAAUGGUGGACAAAUUGCAGAAGGAAUUCUAUCCUCUAUGCAGAAACGCGGAGAGAAGCUUUUUGACAGUAAUUCAUUUCCUUGCUGGAGUGUACGUUGACACACGGUAUCGGAUUCUUCUUACCUCAAGGGAAAUAUCCAAGGCGAAACAGGUUGAAGGAAAAAAAACACAACAAAAGGAGUCACCAACAAUUGAAUUUGCGGCUUUGGAAAGUUCACAUCCUUCAGAAAUAGCAGGCUGUUCUCAGACUUCCGUCUCCACUCUGAACUUGUUCGAGCGUCCAUCCCUGAGAUGUCCUCAACCAUGACAGGGAAAUGGAGAUAAUUCAAGCACCAAUUCUUCAGAAGAUGACGACUUCGAAAAGGAAUUGGAUAAACAAGAAAGACGCCGGCGAGUUUCUGCGAUUCAUAAUUGUAAUGAAGCAUUAUUCGAGAGAAACUUUCGGGAAGAUUGUGAGGAGAUGGAGUCUAUUGGUAGGCUAAAAGUUAAGUCUGUUUUUGAGGCCAUUCUCAGCUACCCACACCGCAUUCAAGCUGCCUGUAAAAUUGUUUCGAGCAUGCCAACAACUCAAGCUAGUGUAGAGCAAUUGUUUUAGGCUUUAAAGUUAAUUUUAAAUAUUCUGCAGCAGGCUAUGAAAGAUUAAUUGACUGCUGCAAUAAUUUUUUACAGAUUUGAAUUAUGAAUGAUUCUAGUUUGUAUCAUUGUUGAUGACAUUUAAAUUUUAAAACUCUGAAUAAAAAUGUUUUUU